rnacentral:rRNA from 1 species
UACGUAGGGGGCUAGCGUUGUCCGGAAUCAUUGGGCGUAAAGAGCGUGUAGGCGGCCCGGUAAGUCCGCUGUGAAAGUCGGGGGCUCAACCCUCGGAUGCCGGUGGAUACUGUCGGGCUCGAGUACGGAAGAGGCGAGUGGAAUUCCCGGUGUAGCGGUGAAAUGCGCAGAUAUCGGGAGGAACACCAAUUGCGAAGGCAGCUCGCUGGGACGUCACUGACGCUGAGACGCGAAAGCGUGGGGAGCAAACAGG